AUGGCCCGCACUCCUCUCCUCCUCCUCCAUUUCCUCCUCGCUCUCUGCACAGGUAUCGUCAAUUCGUCUGCGCUGACUCAGCCGCCCUCCGUAUCUGUGGCUCCGGGAAAAACAGCCACACUCACCUGCUCCGGUUUUGACUCUAGCAAUUAUGUGCACUGGUACCAGCAGAAAGGUGGCCGCGCUCCUGUCCUCGUCAUAUAUAAGGACGAUAAGAGACCCUCCGGGAUCCCCGACCGUUUCUCCGGCUCCAGCUCCGGGACCACAGCCACGCUGACCAUCGCCAGGGCCCAGGCUGAGGACGAGGCCGAUUAUUACUGUCAGGAGUAUAGUAGCAGUGCUGCUGGUGCUCACAGUGAUGCAGGGGGACGGGGAAGUGAGACAAAAACCCCUGUCCCCACGGUCCCAUCCCCCUGCUCUUCUCCCUACCAGAUGGUGUCCUGUGCCAGGCGGGGGAGGGGAACGUCGUGUUCCAGCUCCCCCAGCUUCCCCUGUGCUCCUCACCCUCCCACAUGCCACCAUCACCCCCAGAACGGUCUCGGUCUCAGUCCCACUGGCCCUUACCUCCUACCUUUGGCGGUCCUGCUCUCUGUGGCCCCGGGCAAUCCGCAACCGCUCACUCCUCUUGGGCCUCAAUUCAUGUCCAGGCCCCUCUGAGGAAGCAGAUGCCGCAAUCGCUAUCAUCAUCAUCCCCGCCGCCAUCGUCGUCGCCUUCAUCAUCAUUUUCCCCAUCUCCACCAUCAGCUUCCAGGACGCAUUGCGUGCCGGGCACUGUACUGGGGAUUUUGGGAACCCAAAAUUGAAGAUAGGGAAUCUGUACUCCAAUCAAUCAGUCAAUCAAUCAUAUAUAUUAAGAGCUUACUAUGUGCAGAACACUCUACUCAGAACUUGGGGAGUACAAUUCGCCCCAUCCUCAAAUCCUCAGUACUUCUGUACGUAUCUUGAGGUUAAAUAUAGUAAAUUAUGAAUGUAUUUAUGUUAAUAUCUGUCUCCCCCUCUAAACUGCAAACUAGUUGGGGAACGUCUCCUAAUCUGUUGUAUUUUCUCCAGUGCUUAUACAAUGCCGUGCACAUAGUAAACAAUAAAUACCACU